rnacentral:rRNA from 1 species
GAUGAACGCUGGCGGCGUGCUUAACACAUGCAAGUCGAACGGAAAGGCCCAAGCUUGCUUGGGUACUCGAGUGGCGAACGGGUGAGUAACACGUGGGUGAUCUGCCCUGCACUUCGGGAUAAGCCUGGGAAACUGGGUCUAAUACCGGAUAGGACGAUGGUUUGGAUGCCAUUGUGGAAAGUUUUUUCGGUGUGGGAUGAGCUCGCGGCCUAUCCGCUUGUUGGUGGGGUAAUGGCCUACCAAGGCGUCGACGGGUAGCCGGCCUGAGAGGGUGUACGGCCACAUUGGGACUGAGAUACGGCCCAGACUCCUACGGGAGGCAGCAGUGGGGAAUAUUGCACAAUGGGCGCAAGCCUGAUGCAGCGACGCCGCGGGGGGGAUGACGGCCUUCGGGGUGUAAACUCCUUUCGCUAGGGACGAAGCGUUUUUGUGACGGUACCUGGAGAAGAAGCACCGGCUAACUACGUG